UCAGAUUACACGCUGGUGAUACAGCAACGGACGAUGAAAUUAAACAAUUCUGUAAAGGGCAGAUUGCACAUUUUAAAAUUCCAAGAUAUGUCAAGUUCGUUGAUGAAUUCCCUAUAACUGUCACCGGAAAGGUCAGAAAAUCUGUCAUGAGAGAAGAAAUGACUCGUGAACUUGGUUUAUGAUCAGGCAC